UACGUAGGUGGCGAACGUUAUCCGGAAUUACUGGGCGUAAAGGGUGCGUAGGUGGUUUCUUAAGUCAGAGGUGAAAGGCUACGGCUCAACCGUAGUAAGCCUUUGAAACUGGGAAACUUGAGUGCAGGAGAGGAGAGUGGAAUUCCUAGUGUAGCGGUGAAAUGCGUAGAUAUUAGGAGGAACACCAGUUGCGAAGGCGGCUCUCUGGACUGUAACUGACACUGAGGCACGAAAGCGUGGGGAGCAAACAGG
rnacentral:rRNA from 1 species